UAUUUGAAAGCUGAACAGCUGGUGUCAAAAAUAGACUUCCCAUUCUUUCCAAAGUGUGGCAAAAAUAACCACAUGCCUUUCUUGGCCUCCUGACUCUCACCCCAGAGGGUUUUCUUGUAUAGGAACCAACAAUGCCUUGGAUGGAAACUCUGGAUAGGCUAGUCAUUAUUUUAAGAUUUAGGAGAUUGCAGAUUCUUGGCAGACCUUGGUUGUUUUUCUAGAGUAGUAGGCAAGUAGUUGGACAAAAAGCAAGAAGCCGAUCUACGCCGCUGGCUUUGGGUUCUUCGUGAACAAAUGAGACAAGGUUGGUGGGUGUCUGAGUCUACCAUGAAGAACAGUGGAAGAUCCCCAAGCCUUGUCAAGCCUGUACAACACUUAGACAGAAUUACCCUGAGGAGUGAGCAGUGAGAGAUGGAUGGGUCAGGAUUCUCCCCUUGACAAGAGGACAGAAAGCAGACAAAAACUGACCGCCCAGUGUCGAUGGGCAGCUGACCAGAGGCCUUGACAGUGUCCACUGAUUUGGUGUCAGAAGGUGAUCUGGACCACGCUGACGUCCCCUUUCCUCCUCCUAGGCAUUCAAAUAUCCACUGGUGGCAGUCCAGGGCAACAGCGGAGCCAGGAAACGCUGUCCUGACGGUCUCCUGAAAGCCAAGGGCGGUUGGUGAAGGAACGCUUCUAUCCAUUUGCAUCUUCGCCUGCUCUUGCCAAGUGGUCAGAAGCUCAGGCGGGGGCUGCUGUGGCCUUCUACUGCUAUGUCCAAGCAGCAGAGAGAAGUCCUGUGCUGGGCGUCAGCAACCCCUUGGGGCGCACACCCCACCCCCACCCCUGCAUGCGCGCACACGCAUACCUCCCUCUGUUUCUGCAGGAGCUGAGAAGCCAGGGGCAGAGAAGGACUGCUAGGAAGGCAAGGCCGGAACUGAUCCUGCGAAGAUGGGGCAGCAGGUGGGACUUGGUGCUUGCCAGCAGGGAGCUUUGGUUUUCAUUAAUGAAAUCUAGCCAGUUGCCACCCGGGGACAGUGGGGACAGGCAUGGGAUCCUUGGACGGCAGUAAGUGAAUGGGAUUCAGUCUGGCCAAGGGGGGAAAACAUUCUUAUCCUGUAGCUUAAAAGCUUCGCUGUCUCUCUCAGCCCCCCCAGCCCUAGAACAAUAUGAUUUUCAAAAGAUCUGGUUUGGGCUUCACACUGUGCACGAGUUGCUGUGAGCAGGCAAAGGAGAAAAAAAAAAAAAGAAGUUUUCCAUUUAAAAAAAUGAGCCUCAAAUUCACUCGUUCUUCCUGAAGCCAAAAGCUCCUGAUUUCUACUGGCUUCUCUCUGAUGGAUAAUGGGUAGUUUUUCAUACUUUGAAAAGCACUGCUUUUUUUUUUUUCUCUCCGGUUGAGUAAGCUCUUUUGAGUGGGGGUUAAACUAGAAAAGCCAUUUCUCAUGGAAAUGGCUUUAUUUCCAUUAUACCCACACAGGCUUGUUUUCAGAGCCGCUCAGAGGUGCUGGACAACCUACUCUGAAUUGAGGAGGAAAAGGGAGAUGGCUGAAACACUUGCUUUGAGGGACGAAACCAAGCAAAGAGCUCUAUUCAUUCAUACUGACCUUGGACAUAGAGAUAUCAAGUAAUGCUACGGUUCAGGCCUAAUUAUUUGCUGAGGAGCAGGCAGGGCUCCUGUUCCACGUUUUGUAGCCGUGAUCCUCCCCCCGCAGGGGGCCCCCAUAUCAGAUGCUGCUCCCCCCGUGGGCCGGGUACGUUUAAUGGGUCCUGGCACUGCCUGGUCACAUUCCAUCUCAGCAGAGCCAUCCUUAGCGGCCAGCCAGUGCAGUGUCAUUGGUGAUACCACAGAAUAACACAGACCUGCCUGUAUGACGCUGGUGGCUUUCUACCUGGCUGGUGGCUUUCUACCCGUCUCCCCCCCCCCCCCCCCGAAGUAUUUCCAGCCUGCCAAAGGAUCUGAUCGCGUGUUAGAUUUACUUAAGGUAGCCUUUACAAAUAUUGAUUCAAGUUGAAAUCUCCCCACUCCAAAAUAAUAAUAUAACAAUAAUAACAGAUGCCUCGCCCGACCCCAGGUCAAGGUUGUAGAAUCACGCGGGGGUGGAGCCUAGGCAUGGCCAACAUUUCACAGAAAUCUCAAGCGGGUCCUUCUAGGGAAAGCCAGGGCUGGACCUGUGAACUUGAGGAAGGAAAGCUGUCUCUUGGCCUUGUUUUCAGGGAUUUCGGGGUCGUCUGGCUCUGUGGCCGGUGCUGCCCCGUUGGUAGGUAUGAGCUAAGGGCAGCCCAGUGUACUCAUGGUCCUGGAGGGGGUCGGUUUCACUGUUGUGAGCCCUGUUGAUAGGGAAACAGACGCUUCACAGGCCAAGUGCACCAGGCAGGAGAACACACACACACACACACACACACAGGCCCUCACCCUGGUCACAUGGCCGGGUGUGCGGGGUAUCCAGUAACCACAGGAGCUGCAGUCCCAUGACCUCGACUUCUCGUCUGUGGAACUGCGCUCGCCCACAUUCUGGUUUCCCAUUGUUUAAAAAGGUGCUUAAUUUCUAUUAGUAGCGUUAGAAACCUUUUUUCUUAUGACCCGUGGAGACUUUCUAAGCCCCAUAAAGCCUAUCCCCCUUGUUGCUGGUAGGCCCCCAGCCCUCUCCAGUGAUGACAAAAAGGCUUACAGGAGACAUACUUUAAAUAUAAGGGCAUAAUCAGGCUAAAAGGAAAAGGUUCGGACAAGAUGUACUGUGCCACGUCAAAGCCUAAAAAGCUGGCGUGGUGACCUUAAGAUCAGACAAAGUCGGCUUUAAGAUAAGGAGUAUCCACAGAGGCAAUCCCCCAACCCCAGAAGGCAGUCCCCCUUCUGCCUGCCCUCCCACUGUCUGGGCGCCCAGCCCUUAGACUCUGCCGCCUCCGUGGGAAUGGGGAACUGGGUAGGGGUGCCUGGGGGCACUUCUCUGGGCACUUCUCGGGGCUCUUACUGCCUCCCUUUCUUUUCCCUUCUGCUCCCAUCUUCCAGGCCCUUGGCAUAAUCUCCUGCAGGGAUUUAGCAUUUACAAAAGCAGGAAUCCUUACAGCUGGCUCCGAUCCCUAAGGCAAGGAAGUGUGAAGCUUGGCUGCCGGUUGGAAAUUGGUGUGGGUAGGGAAUAAAGGAGCCAAAGACGAAUUAGUACUUCAGCCAUUGAUCCUGCCCAAAUACCUGCCACCUCUCCCAGGGGCUCUCGGGCCUCCCCAGGCUCUUGGUCUCUUGUUUGGACAAGAGCUGCAGACGUGCUUGACUUUCCUAUCUUUUCCCUUCCCGACCCCCGACUUUAACCUGGGUAAAGCCGCUCUCAUUUUUUUUUUCAGGAGCCGCUUGGCUCCCUCAAAAGCCCUGGUCGAAUUGAGCAGAACGAAGUUAUUCCCCCAGCGAGAGCAUAUGGAUGGGAGAUGUGGCUUCGGGACCAAAUCCUCACUCGGGGUGGUUGCUGGUCUGACCCGGCUCUCUGUGCAGAGGUCCUCUUGGGGAAGAGAGAGCCGUUCUCACUCACUCACCCAGGCGUGUUCUGUCUUUUUUUUUUGUUUUUAAAGAUUUUAUUUGACAGAGCAAGAGAGCACAAGCAGGAGGAGUGGCAGGCAGAGGGAGAGGGAGUAGGAGGCUCCCCAUUGGGCAGGGAGCUUGAGGCAGGACUCGAUCCCAGGACCUUGGGAUCAUGGCCUGAGCUGAAGGCAGACACUUAACCCACUGAGCCACCCAGGCACCCCACAUAUUCUGUCUUACAAGGAGUUGCUCUGGUAGGGCAGCUGGGGUGGCUCACUAUCAAAGGAGGUCUGUGGAGGCAAGCACCUACAUUAUUUGGAGAGCUUCUUAGAAAUGCAGAUUCUCUCAAAAAAAAAAAAAAAAGUAAAAGAGUAAAAUUAAAAAUUAAAAAAUAGAGGUGCCUGGGUAGCUCAGUGGGUUAAAGCCUCUACCUUCGGCUCAGGUCAUGAUCUCAGGGUCCUGGGAUCGAGCCCCGCAUCGAGCCCCACAUCGGGCUCUCUGCUCAGCGGGGAGCCUGCUUCCCCGCCUCUCUCUGCCUGCCUCUCUGCCUACUUGUGAUCUCCCUCUCACUGUCAAAUAAAUAAAUAAAAUCUUAAAAAAAAAAAAAACUGUUAAAAGUAGACCAUCGUCCGUGUGCUGAAUGUAGGAACCUUCACCUUCCCCACCCCCUCCCCACUGGGGGGAUAUUGAAGCAUCCUCUGUAGUCUCUAGAAUUUGAUAAAACUCUAGAGCACAGUUUGAAACUGAUUAUAGUUAUCUCUUUACCCACAUGAAAAAUAUACUCAUGAGAUCUUGUUUAGCAAAGAAAACCGUUUACUAAUCAAAUUAUGGUAUAAUCCAAUUUUAUAUUAAGAUAAAAGAUAUAUAUAUAUAUAUAUAUAUAUACACACAUAUAUGUACACACACACACACACAUACAUACACAUACAUACAGUGAUAUAUCGAUCACUCAUUUUCCCAGGCUUCACUGGUUUGGGGAAAAAAUGAAGUCACUUUAAUCAUAAUUACUCGAAUUCCCCUAGCUGGUGGUCCUCAGUCUCCACGAGGCAGCACCUGCCUCCACGGUCCUCCCAGCUAUCUCCGAGGAGCCUUCAGGAUGUUUCUCUCCUCUUAGGACCAUAAUCAGCCCAUAGUCUCCCUCUGGCCCCCUGGUUUCCAUCACCUGUAGAGCUGUGUGGGGACAGUCCUAGCCCUGCUUUUGCUGCUGGUGCCCGGGGGACGUCUGCCCCAGAUGUCCACCCCGCCCACUUUGCUGCAAACACCUGUCUGGGUCCCAUGCUGUUUUCUGCAAAGGACGAGGAAGAUGAACCUGGGCUGUCCCAGGGGGCUGAGCCCUGGCUCAGGGGCAGGCAGGGAACCAGAGGCCGUGUCAGCAGUCAUGCGGACCUCCUCGUCUUCUGCCUGACCCUACGCCCCCGUGCAUUUAGCAUGGACUUCCCAGUUCUCUCCAAUGAGCUCACUGGGGCCCCCCAUGCUCAUCAGCUUGAGCUGGUUCCGUGUGUGUGCAUGUGGACAUGCGUGUGCAUGUGCGUAUACAUCUGUACACAUGGGUAUUAUUAAAGCAAUGUAAAUAGAAAUUUAAAAAAAUUUUUUUAGGAUUUUAUUCAUAUGAGAGAGAGACUGAGAGCCAGGGAACAGGAGUGUGGGAGGGGCAGAGUGAGAGGGACAAGGUGACUCACCGCUGAGCCCUGCUUGAGGCUCCAUGGCAGGACCUGGGCCGAAGACAGACACUUAACAACACUUAACGACUGAGCCACCCAGGCGCCCCAGAAUGGAAAAUUUCUGUAGUCAUAUCUGAAUGGCAAGAUUGGGGUGCCUGAGUGUUCUAAUUUUUUUCCUUGUGUUUUUAAAAUUUCUACAAGAAACGUGAUACUUGUAUUUAAAAAGUGAAGAAGCUCUUGAAAUCAGUUACGACUCUAGUCACCGAAUACACUUAACAUAAUUGCUUAGGAUGUUUUUUGUGAAUUUCUUGCCAUCCAAGGCAAACUAUUUUCCCUGUGUCAGUUUUUGAAGGGGUGGAGGCAGGCACUGGGAGGGGAGGGAGGCAGGUAGUGGGAAAGGGAGAUAGACCAUAAGCAUAAAAAUCAUGUAGAAUUGUGGUUUCAGGCUAUUUCUAGUAGAAGACACUUCUCCUUUUUUAUAUUCAAUUUUUCACAAAAUCUCAAUAUCUAUAUACUAUUAAUAAUAGUUAACACGGUGUGUCUGUAUCUUUUUGCAGCUUUGGGGGGAUUUAAUUCACAUAUAACAUUGUGUACGUUUAGGAUGUAAAAGAUAUUGGUAUGGUACCCUUGUUAUCUCCAUCUCUAUCUUUGAUUAUAUAGAUCUGAAGACACUGCUUUCCAACAAAGUCCAAACAUCCCACACUUCUGGGUGUGGUGACCCGCUCUUUCUAGAAUGCCCAUUCACUGGGCUCCCUGCCCUGCAGCCAGUGGGAACAAGGCUUUGGGGACACAGCUGACAAUACAGGGAGUGUCCCAGAGGCUGGUGCUUCACUUGGGGGUACCCCGGCAUUAACACUGGCAUGUGGCUAGGGAAUGGGGGGCUCCAGUUACAGCAUGGAAAGGGGGACCCUUGCAAAGCUGGUUAUUACAGGUGAGUCAAGUCGCCCUGGGAAACCAUAAACCAUCCUUGUUCCCAUUAAAUGCGGCACCGUGUAGCCCUCCCUUUUGCUGCUAAAGACAGUUGGCUCCAGGAUGAUUUGCAGAAAGCUUCCUCUUAUAAUGGGGCUUUCAACUCAGGUGGGAACAAGACGAGGGGUUCAAGGGUGCCUGCGCGGUGGGUCUCCACUGACUUUAGUUCAUUAGCAGUUUUCCUCUGAGGGAGUCCCCAGGCGCAGUGGAUUCUGCUUUGAGAGCUGGACUUUCCAAGUGCCCUGUUGCAGGGGACAAAAUUUCAGUUCCCCUUUCCCUGCAACAACAAAAGAAGGCUCAUCCCAUGCCCUGUUGGAGACUCCCAAAUUUGUGUCAUUCCCUGUCUGAGCCACUCCCUCAUCUGACACAUUUGCUUUCCUUUAUUUUCAGAACAUCCCCUUUGAAGUUCUGUCCCUUCUCCUCAUUGCUCUGUCUCCCAGCUGCCCCGAUCCCCACCCUGCGGCAAUGCACCUUGCUUAAAGCCACGGCAAGAACAACUUCAAGGUGCCUCCCUUUUUGUUUGCAGUGUUCAAACUGGCCCCUUGUCUUCCUCAACUUGCCUGCCCCCAGCAGAGCCCAAACCACCCAGGGUUGUUUUCUAAAGAUUUUAUAUAUUUGCUUGGGAGAGAGAGAGGACACACACAGAGGGAGAGGGAGAAGCAGACUCCCCGCUGAGCAGGGAGCCCCAUGCAGGGCUCCAUCCAAGGACCCCGAGAUCCUGCCCUGAGCUGAAAGCAGAGGCUUCAUGGAGCCACCCAGGAGCCCCCACCCCACUUGUCAUUCGUUAUUUACCUUUGGCUUAAUGACACCAGCUAACAUUUGUUGAGCUUGGACUUGGUUUCUAGCACAUGAGUGACUUUGCUUAAUUCUGAGAGUAGCCCAGUAUAGUAGGUGCUUCAUAAACCCAGCUGCUGAGAUCAGACAAUGACUCCUGGCAAGAGCCUUGAGCCUGAGGUCCCAGGUAGAAGGAAGACAGAGUUGCCAGCAGCCCAGACCUCCUGGCUCCCCGGUCUGUGUGGCAAGUCCCAGCGCCAGUGCUGGGCGUGGGUCCUCUGAGGAGCCUGCAUCAAAAUUUUUUAAAAAUUCCAACCCUACCAUUCAGCAUUUCGGGUAGUUUUAGCCAUCCCUCAAGGACCUUCUGCCUUUGGGACAGACCCUGGGGAGCUCCCACGUGCUGGGCUUUGGGUCAACCUCACGAAGCCCCCAGUUCUCACCACUACGUGGCCCGAGGAAUAACACAGAAUCAAAGAAUAAGAUGUUUCACUUGCUCAGUCAUUUCCGCAUCGAUGUCACAUUUUAUCCUCAGUCGGGUAACUUUAUUAUUAGUCCCAUUAAAUUUUUUUUUAAUUAGAGUGAAACUCAUACAACGUAAAAUUAGCCACUUGGGAGAGAACAUUUCAGUACGUUUGGUGUUAUGUAACCACCGCCUCUCCUUUCCAAAACAUUUUCAUCACCCCUAAAAGAAAGCACAGGCUCAUUGAAGCAAGUGAUACCCCAACCCUGGGCAAAUACCAGCCACUUCCUGUGUCUCUAGAGUCACCUCUACUGGAUACGUUCCAUAAAUGCAGUCAUAGGACGUGUGGCCUUCUGUGUCUUCUUUCCCUUAGCAUCACAUUUUCGGGGUUCACCCAUGCUGCAGGGUGUGUCGGGACUUCCUUCCUUUUUACGGCUGAGCAGCAGUCCGUGGUACCUGUACCCACCUUUGUUUAUGUGGGUUCAUCUGCUGAUGGACUCCUGGGUUGUGCCAUUGGGCUCUUGUGAAUAGGCCUGCUAGGACAGUUGUGUAGGAGUAUCUGUUUUGAGUACCUGUUUUCAGUUCUCUUCCAUGUGUACGUGGGAGUAGGGAUAGCAGGAUCUCACAGUAAUUUUGUUAUUUAACUUCUUGAGGAAACUAUUCGUGGCAUUUAAAAAAAAAAAUUAUUUAUCAGAGAGAUUGAGCAAAAACACAAGCAAGAGGAGCAGCACGCAGAAAAAGGAGAAACAGGUUCCCUGAGCAGAGAACCCCAUGUGGGACUUGAUCCCACGCCUCUGGGAUCCUAACUUGAGCUGAAGGCAGACGUUUAACCCACUGAGGCAUCCCAAAUCCAUACCUAAUUUAAAAGCAAGGAAUCAAGAGUUUGAGAGAAAGGCGUUGCCCAAGGUCAUGUGAAGAGAAAUGACAGAACCAGCACUAGGACCCAGGAGCUCACACUGCUGUCCUUCUAAGGACGGACCUGCAGGCUGUGGGGGACAUCAUUCAUUCACUCACCAAAUAUUCCUCCGGAGCCUGAGCUCGGCUUUGUGGCAGAUUUAACAGUAAGUUCCAGAAAGGAGCUUCCUAAUGCCAGAAGCUUCAGAAGCAAACAAAACAAGGGUAGUAUUUUUAAUCAUAAAUCAACAUGACUGGCUCACACAGAAAUUGCAUUAAGCCAACAUAUCUAUUUGAACACAGUGAUGUUCUCUCACACGUCUUGCUGCGUAUUUUAACUCCUGCGUAGGGAGUUCAUGCUGAUUCUCCAACAGACCUAAUAGGUCCUGCUCUCUCUGUUUCUAAUUGUCUUUAACUGUCUGCAUUUCUUGAUUGACCCCGGGGGGUGGGCUAUUGCACGCGCAAAGGGUUAAAUACCAGGGUCUGGAAGAAAGACUUUAAAGGGGCCUGAGGAGGGAGGCAGGGAGGAUGGAGAAAACAGGAGGAUUUAGCUUUGGGAAUCUUUUAUUUUCCUGCGGUUUCCAGGGGAAUUUUACUCUAAAGAGGCAAAUUCUCAUGUCUCCCCCUGACCGUUCCCGGCUCACUGGCGCAUUUUCUGUGCAGAAAGGUGACAUUCAAAGGCUUCGGCUGAGCUGGCUUUGAUAACAGGCUCGGGCUCCUCCUGGCUCCCACCCUCCCCGGCCUCCCGUCCCUGGCCCCGCUGGCCUGAUUAAUCAGAACCCUGCCAAGCCCACUGAGGAGGGCUCCCUGGCUAAUCUAAUCUCCGUCCCCACGCGGGACAGACACCCCCGCUCGGCCAAUGAGACGCGAUUGUGCAAGCUCGGCCGGCCGGUGGAAAAUUCCA